rnacentral:lncRNA from 1 species
GGGAGGUGAACUGUUUAUCAAAUAUUUUCGCAAAGAUUGAUCAAGAAUGAAGCUUUAACACAAUUCACAGAUAAAGCAAUCAAGGAAAGCAAUCAAAUAAUGAUUAAGAAACUGUUUGCAGAAUUUCAAUCGGUUUGGUUGUUUAUAGCAGCAACAAAAGCAGAAUUAAAACAAACAGUUAUAAGGAGUGAGAGAGAGAGAUUUACACAACCAAUUUUAUACUGGUUCACUCAACCUUUAGCAACAUCCAGUUCCCAGAACAACCACUGGGUUCCAGUAGUAACCACUCACAGAUUACAACAACACAACCACAAAGAGGUGACCUUGAAAACCACAAGACCCACUCACCCUCUUUGCAACCACACACCUCACGUCAAAACACCCUAUGACUUACAAGAUUUCACACACAUUUACAAGUUUAUAAAAGUACAAUCACAAGAAUAAUGAAAGGAAUAGAAACCACAUGAGAUUACAGAAAUCAGGAAGCUCUUAUGAUCAAACCUUGUACCAAUGCACAGCUAAAUAGCGAUCUUGCAAAACUUCUUUCAAAUCAAUCUCAAUCUCACUUUGUUUGAUAUAAAACUUGUGUUUUUUGUUUUGAAAGAAAAACUAUAUUUAUAGCACACUAAACUAGCCAUUCUAGGCAGCAUUUAUUGCCAAAAUAGUUUUGAUUCACAUCCAAAACAGAUUAACAAGUUUUUUAAAGAGUUGUUAUGAAGUGUUACAAUCAAUCGGUUGAAAAGUCGUUUUAACCGGUUGAAUUGGUUAGGAAAUUACAUAACCAAGUCAAAAAUAGUUUAAAAACCUUCAAACAAGCCAAAUGACAAACAACCGAUUAUUUCAAUAAUUCAACCGAUUGUUUUUCUCUUUGCUUAGAAAAAAACUUUUCCUUAACAAAACAGAUUGAUCAAGCUUGUGCAAGGGACUAGGAAAGAUCUUACAAAGAUUCUAAACACCCUAGACUAAACCCAAAAUAAAGAGCAGCACAGCUUCAAGCUUCAUCAUGGAUUUGAAACAUCAAAGCUCCCAUGUUCAACAAUCUCCCCAUAUUUGAUGGAGACAAAUUCUUGGGAUGCUCUUUGGAAUGUUCUUACUUAGAAUCUGUACAACCUGCAUUCAUAAGCAAAGAGAGACAUAUAGGAUAAUCUAUUCCAAUCAAACAAGUACCACAAACCAAUUCCCACUAGGUGAUUUUCAGAGAGGAAAAUCAACCAAAUCAAUGUGAGAAACCAGUCAAACAUACAAAGGUGCAACACAGAUAAACAAUUGGUUAUUUCGCAAUAAUAACCGGUUGAAAUUUUGUAUCAGAGUUGUAUCAGUUUUAAAAUUUCAAUCAUGAACCAGUUAUAGCAAUGUUCAAAAGCAUUAAUAGUGCAGAUAAUAAGAACAUUACAUAUCCCAACACUUCUCCCCCUAUUUGUCUUCACAAAUAGACAAAAGGAAGGAUAAAAAAUAGUAUAAAAAAAACGAAAUUGUUCAAAAACUUAAACCAACAAUUAAAAAGAAGGAUUGUUCUUUCUUUCAAACUGUAACUCUAGAAGCUGAUUCUGAACCUCUUCUAUUUUUUCAUCCAGGUUUGAAAAACGUGAAUCCAUAUGAUUGAACCUUGACUCACAAAUCAUGAAGAUUCCUUUGAUUUUCAGCAAAUGCGUCCAUGCGGUUGAUCAUUAACCUUUCAAAAGGAGACAUUAAAGUCAACCUUUCUCCCAUGUAACCAUCACUAGGACCAGCCUCUUGAGUCUCAGUAGCAGGUUCCUCUUGAGUUGUUGCAUCUUCAAGUUCAUCACCAACAUUGGUUCCACUAGGGCCAGCUUGGUCACCAUCUUUGCUAACCCAUCUCCCACCUAUUUUAGUAAAUCCCAUUUUGUUUAGGGAUCCACUGUUAAUCUCACUUGAGGGCUUGAUAAUUUUAGCCAACUCCUCUUUAAUAUCCACUUCAAAAUAGUGUAGAAAUUUAGAGAUUAAAAUUGCAUAGGGAUAGUGGAAGUCACUUAACCUUAUGGAUUUUUGCAUAUGGUCCUUGAUGGUGUGGAUCCAAUUGAUCUUCACUUUAUUCAUAAUGCAGUAGAUCAGCAACAGGUCUUCCUCAGAGACAGUGAAGUGAUUGCUCUCCCUUGGUGUGAUGAUCCAUGACACAAUGAAAGUUAUGAGCCUUUCAUCAAGUUUUAGCCUUCUAACUGAAAAAUUUCUUAUUUUGGAGAGGGGAUUCUUGAGACAAUUCUUGUAGAAUUGCAUUUUUUUGAAUUCUUCAACUACCCCUAUAUUCCCUCUGUUGAUUCAUACCCCAGAGAACUUCAAUCCAGUCACAACAGUCCAUGCAUCAUUGGUGAUAACCAUGUCUACACCCUUAACAUUAGAGACAAGUUAGUCACCAUUGAAUUAAAGGUUAGUAUAAAAUACCUUCACCAAGUCUGGAUAAAUGUUUCCAGUGAGCUCAAAAAAUCUCUUCAAUCUUUUCUCCUUGAGGAGGCUUCUCACAACAGUCAAAUUUUGUUGCUUCAUCCAAGUGAAGGAGACAAGCUUGGGUAUGCUGACAAUUUUCCUACUUGUUUCAUGUAGGUAUUUGUUGAUGAGUUCAGAUUCUCCUGAGAACCAUCCUUCCAGCUUCCCACCACUCCUUAAAGCUCUUGUUUUCAUCCUUUUAGAAGAUGGAGGAGUUGUAGCCAUAACUCAAAUCAAAGAAGAACUUAGCACACUACAUAGAAAACUUAGAGCAGAGGAAAAAAUAAGAACAACAGAUUGUUUGUGUGAAAACAGCAGCUAAUUGCAUCACAUAUAUAGCAUAAACCUUUGGUCAAAGUUGGUAUUAUGUGUGUUGUUUUCAAAAAAGAAAAAAGAAUCAAAUCUGAACUAUAAAGCAGUUUGUGUCAGUCAUAACAGAAAGUACAGAAAAUCACAUGUUGAUUUGACCAAACUUUAAAAGCAGUUUUAAUUUCCAAGAUUAGGAGGAAUCUGAUUCAUAAAGAACAUUUAUUGCAGAGAUAUUUUGUAUUCAAAGAUGUAAUUAAGACAUUGUUGACCACAAACAUGACUGAGUUGAAUAGAAUAACAAAUCAGAGUUCAAAAAUUAAAAACAAAUUUUCCCAGUGCUGACAGAGUGAAAACAAUCGAUUGUUUCGAAGAAACAAUCGGUUGAAUUUCUGCACUAAUGAAAAAAUUUGAGAAAAUCAAAUUUUUAACAGCCAUGCUAUAUACAAGAAUCCAGGUUUAUAAGGCACACAAAUUUGUAUAAAAAAACAGAAGGAAUACAAGCUAAUCAUAAUCCAAGUAUAGGCAUAGAGAAAAAUUCAGGAUUGGAUUUAGAAACUAAUGUUCAAGAAUGAGAAGAACAAAUAAUUAUCCUUCAUAUUUAAGGUACACAAAUGUAAGAAAUACAUAGUAUCAGGACAAGACAUUGUCUUUCCAAUAAAUCUUCUUGAAAUCCUGAUCUUUACUAAUCCUUCAAAUGGAAUCAAGAAUCUGCAAAACAAAGCUUGUUAAAUCACAAGACUUGAUCCCUUAAAGAACUUGGAACCUUUUGUGUUAGACUUAUCCUUGGAACCAUCAAAACAUCUUGGAAUCCAUUUAAAGAUCCCUUUAGGAACAAAAGACUUUCUAAACUUGCAGAACCUAACUGAAUGACCUUUCUUCAUGCAAUUGAAAUUUGUAACAACCGGUUGAAUCGACCUUUUAACCGAUUGUUUUUCUGGUACAGAUGAAAAAGGUUUUGAAAUUCCAUUUCCUUUGCUUUGUGGAUAAAAACCUGAACCUGAUUUUCCAAAAACACAAUUUUGAGAUGCAAGAACAUCUUCAAAGUUGGAUUUUCCAAUUGUAAGUUUAUCCAUGGUUUUCAAAAGAUAAUGAAAUUUUUUGUUGAUUCUAUAGAUAGAAAAUCUGAGAAGUCAUCACAAACAGUUCUUUCAUACCUUUGUUUGAAACUAAUACCAUUUUCUCUGAAAGUGAAAAAGAUCAUAUUGACAGUGUUGCUAAAAAUAUCAUUGUUUCUGCUCUUGAUUCUAAUGAGUUUCUUAGAGUUUCAAAGUGUGUUUCAGCUAAAGAUAUGUGGGACACUCUUGAAAGAAUUCAUAAAGAUUCAAGAAAUGCUUGGCUGGACAAUGACAAGUUCUCUUCUGGAUCAUCCUCUGCAGCUUCCAAAAUAAACUUAUGUCUGAUGGCAAAAGAAGAUUCUGCAUCAAACAGUGUAAGUACAUCCUCAUCUGCCAAAUGUGAUAGUUAUUAUCAACUUCUUGAGGCUUUUAAAGAGGCUCAUGAAGAAGCUCAUAAAUUAACCUUUUCAAAUAAUUCGUUGAAAAGUAAAAACAACUGGUUGAAAAUUAUAGUCAAGGUCUUGGAAAAAGAUUUGAACAACUCAAAAACUGAUUUUGAAAACAUAGAAAUGAUUUAUCAAAAUUCUUCUUGCAAGUGUGAAUCUAGUUUUUGCAAAAAUUGUGAAUCUCUUCAAAAGAAUGGUUUUAUCUUGUGAAAAUUGUGAAUAGAAUUUCAAAAGGAAAAUCCAACUUUGAAAAUGUCUUAGCAUCUCAAAAUUGCGUUUUUGAAAAAUUUGGUAUGGGUUUUAACCCACAAAGCAAGAACAGUGGCAUUUCAAAACCUUUUUCAACCAUUACUGAAAAUUAACCGAUUGAAAAGUCGAAACAACCUGUUCUUUCUUGUUUCUAUUGUGUGAGAAAUGGUCAUUCUGUUAGGUUUUGCAAAAUUCGCAAAUUUUCUGUUCCUAAAGGUAUUCUAAAGUGGGUUCCCAAGAAUCGUAAGGUUCCUAACAAUCGAAUUAACAUCUAUGGACCCAAAUUUAUUAGGGGACCAGAUCUUGCCACCUGAUUUUAAUUUUUGUAGAAUUUCUUGAUAAAAAAACCAGCUCUUAUGGUACUUGGACAAUGGCUGCUCCAAGCACAUGACUGGAGAUGUAUCAAAGUUUGUCAACAUCAUUCUUAAGCAAGAAGGCCAAGUGACCUAUGAGGAUAAUAAUAAAGGAAAGAUCCUUUGAAAAUGUACUAUUGGUAAUGAAAACAGUUUUCUGAUUCAUGAUGUCUUCUAUGUGGAAGGUCUCAAGCACAACCUUCUCAGCAUAAGUCAGCUUUGUGAUAGAGGAUAUCAAGUCACAUUCAAAACUAACUCCUGUGAGAUUCGUCUACCAAAUUCAAAUGAAGUGUUGUUGGUUGGUAAAAGAAUUAAUAAUGUCUAUCUAUUUGAUAUUUCAAAUUCCACAUCCAUUGGUUGUCUUUUGACCAAACAUGAAGAAUCAUGGUUUUGGCACAGAAGAAUUGCACACAUUCAUAUGCAUCAUCUGAACAAAUUAAUUUCAAAUGAUCUUGUUAUUGGCUUACCCAAACUCAAGUUUGAGAAGGAUCAUGUGUGUGAAGCUUGUCAAAAGGGGAAACAAACAAAAUGGUCUUUUAAACUAAAAAACAUAGUUUCCACCUCAAAACCCCUUGAGCUUCUACAUAUGGAUCUGUUUGGUCCUUCAAGAACUAUGAGCCUUAGAGGGAAUUAUUAUGCUCUUUUUGUGGUUGAUGAAUUUUCCAGGUUUACAUGGACAAUGUUUCUCCAUUCAAAAAGUGAGGCCUACAUCUGCAUUUAAAAAGCUAGCCAAAAGGCUACAAAACUCCUACUGCAGCAACAUUGGUUCCAUUAGGAGUGAUCACGGUGGAGAAUUCCAAAAUGAGAAGUUUAGCGCCUUCUGUGAUAAGUUGGGCAUCUUUCACAAUUUAUUUGCACCAAGGACACCUCAUCAGAAUCGUGUAGUGGAAAGGAAGAACAGAUUGCUUGAGGAGCUGGCAAGAAAAAUCUUGAAUAAAUCCUCCUUACCAAAUACUUUUGGACAGAUGUAGUCAGUACAACAUGUUAUGUAAUAAAUCGUGUUCUUAUCAGGCCCAUUCUGAAAAAGACUCCAUAUGAAUUAAUCAAUGUAAGGAAGCCUCACAUAAGACAUCUAAAGUUAUUUGGGUGUAAAUGCUAAAUUCUAAACAAUUGUAAAGACAAUCUUGGUAAGUUUGACGAAAAAGUCGAUAAUGGUAUUUUUCUUGGUUACUCCUUAACUAGUCAUGCCUAUAGAGUUUAUAAUAAGAGACUUAUGACUGUAGAGGAAUAUGUACAUACUGUGAAACAACCGAUUGAAAAUUUGCAACAGUGUGAACUUCCUAAAGAGUGAAGGAUUCCCAGAGAUCUCUCAGUACAAAACAUCAUUGGGCAAAUUAAUAAAGGUGUAUCUACAAGGAGGACGGUAUCAAACUUCUGCAACCAUAUGGCUUUUGUCUCCAAAGUUGAACCCAAGUCAAUCAAUGAAGCACUCAAGGAUGAACAUUGGAUAGUUGUUAUGCAUGAGGAACUUAACCAAUUUGUAAGGAAUGAUGUGUAGCUUCUAGUUUUAGAACAAAUCAGAUGAAUCUCAUAGAAACAAAGUGGGUAUUAAGAAACAAGUUAGAUGAUAUAGGGGUAAUCACAAGCAACAAGGCAAGACUUGUUACAAAAGGGUACAAUCAAGAAGAAGGAAUAGACUAUGACGAAACUUUCGCACCAGUGGCAAGAUUAGAGGUUGUGAGAUUAUUGCUAGCCUUUGCCUGUAUGAAUGGUUUCAAGUUGUUCCAAAUGGACGUGAAAAUUGCUUUCCUAAAUGGGAUUGUAAAUGAGGAAAUCUUUGUUUCACAACCAACCGGGUUUGAAGACUAUCUAUAUUCCAAUCAUGUAUACAAAUUCAAAAAAAUCUUUGUAUGGUCUCAAGGAAGCACCUAGACAGUGGUAUGAAAGGUAAAGUAACUUUCUUUUAUCUCACAACUAUGAAAGAGGGAAGAUUGACAAAACCAUUUUUAUUAAAAAGUCAAAUUAUGUUGUUAUCUUAAUACAAAUAUAUGUUAAUGAUAUUAUUUUUGGAUCAACUAAUGAUAGACUGUGUGAAGAAUUUGUGACAGCAUUGCAGGGGGAGUUCGAGAUGUCGAUGAUGGGAGAAAUCUCCUUCUUUAUUGAAUUGCAGGUCAAGCAAUCCAAAGAGGGCAUCUUCUUAAAUCAAUCAAAGUAUUGCAAGGAGAUACUCAAACGAUUUGAAAUGCAGAAUUGCAAAGAAGCCUCAACACCAAUGCCUACCGACUGCUAUAUGGAUGCUGAUGCAAGUGAAGUUAUUGUUGAUCAAACAACAUAUAGGGGGUUAAUAGGAUCCUUGCUUUAUCUUACAGCUAGCAGCCCAGACAUAAUGUUUGUUUUGUGCCUUUGUGGUAGAUUCCAGUCAAAUCCAAAGGAAUCACAUCUCAAAGUUGUUAAAAGGAUUCUAAAAUAUUUGAAGGGAACAUCUACUUUUGGACUAUGGUAUUCCUCUCAUUCCCCUAUACAACUUGUUGGGUAUUCUGAUUCUAAAUUUGUAGGUUGCAAGCUAGAUAGGAAGAGUACUAGUGGAACCUGUCAUCUUCUUGGCUCAAGUUUGACAUCAUGGCAGAGCAAGAAGAAAGCCUGUGUAGCCCUCUCCACUGUUGAAGCAGAGUACAUAGCUGAAAUGAGCUGUUGUGCUCAAAUUUUGUGGAUCAAGCAAUAGUUUGAGGACUUUGGGUUGAAAGUAAACAAGGUUCCUUUAUUUUAUGACAAUACAAGUGCAAUCAACCUAACAAAAAAUCAAGUUCAGCACUCAAGAACCAAACACAUUGAGAUUCGGCAUCACUUUAUUCAUGAUCAUGUAAAUAAUGGUGAUUGUGAGGUACAAUUCAUUGCCACUGAAAGACGGCUUGCAGACAUCUUCACCAAACCUCUAUCCGAGGACAGGUUUUUCUCAUUAAGGAAUGAGUUAGGAAUCAUUGAUUCACAAGAUUUACCUUAAUCUGUGCUAUUUUUAUCCCUUCUUACACUCUAUUUGUGAAGACAAAUAAGGGAAAAAGUGGCUUUGAGGUUGUAAUCAUCUAAUUCUGCACUUAUUAUGUUGAUAACUGCUAAACUUUGAUGAUUUUAACUAGUUAAUCCUGUUUUUUAACAGGUUGUUUUUCUGCUGCUACAUGCAUGUGUGUGUAAUUGGUUUUCACACUAAUUUGGUUUAUGUUCCUCUUUGAAAAUCACCCAGUGGAAACUGGUUAUGUGAUACUUGAUAUAUCUGGAAUAGAUUAUCUCUUGUAUUUGCAUCUUUUUGUGAUUGCAAGUUGUGCCAGAUUCUAAACAGAACUUCCAAAGCAACCCCGGGAUUUUUCUUCAAAUAGGGGGAGAAUGUUGAAAAUGAAGUUUUGAUGCCUCCAAAUCCAUGAAAACAACUUGAAGAUCUUGUUGAUGUGUUCAGGGUUUCAUUCUAGGUUGUUUAGAAUUUGCUAGAUCCACUCCUAAUCAAUUCACAACUGAAUCAAUCUGGUUUUUUAAAAAUAAAAAUGUUUUGCAAAGCUAAGUGAAAAACAACCUGUUGAUUUCUCGUUUUAAUUGGUUGUUUUUGCUCAGCCUGUGAAAGGUCUUUUGAAAUGUUUUGAUUUUGGUUGACUUAACUGUCAAACCAAUUCAACUAGUUAAAUCGACAUUUCAACCGGUUGAUUUUUGAAUUUCUUAACAGCUUUUCAUCAAAUUCUUAAAUUUGUUUUCAGUUAUUUACAAACUGUUUUGGCUCAUGAUUAACUUAUUAAAAUGACUAGUUUGAUGAGCUAUAAAACUAUGAUUACCCUUCUUAUUUGAAAAACACACAACAAGUGAUUCAUAAAAGAUUUUGUGAAAGUUUGGAUUCAAGGAAGCAAGAUUGCCUUGAGUUGUGCUUUGGUUAAAGAGUGGAUUAAGAGCAACUGUGAUUUCCUGUAAUCAAGUGUAAUUUUUUCCAUAUUCUCUUGUAAUUGUUCUUUAGUUUGAAUUCUUGUAAACUGUGUAUUUGUAAGGUCAGAUGGUUGUUCAGACUGUGUGUAAAGUCAAAGAGGGUGUGUGUUCUUGAGUGGUCAAGAUCACCUCUUUGAGGUUGUGAUGUGUUGUAAUCUGUUGUUGGUUACCUGGUGAAUUACCAGUGGUUUUCUGGGGACUAGAUGUAGCUCUGGUAAAGAGUGAACCAGUAUAAUUAUUUGUGUGAUAUUCUCUCUCUCACUCAUUUAAAAUCUGUUUGACUUGUGAUUUCAUCUCUCCUGCCACAAAUAAUCGGUUAAAUUGUAUUUUCAACCAAUUGCUUUUAUGAUAGCAGUUUCAACAAAUUUUUUUUCUUGGAUGAUCUUAUUCUUUAAUCUGUAAAUCAACAUCAAUCUUCAUUCUUAACCAGUAUUUGUGAAAAUUUUACUUAAACAAUUCACCUCCCCCUCUUGUUAAGGCCACUAAUUCUUACAAGUUGAUCAUAGGAAGCAAACCAAACUAAACAUAUUGGGUUUCUAUUUUUGCUUUUUUGCUUUUGUAUUUAAAGUUAAAAAGAGUUUUCAUUUAUUUGUUUAAUCUCUAAAAUAUCCAUAAUAUAUUUUAUGUAUUUCGUAAACAUUAGGGGUAAUUGACCAAGUGAUAACUGACUAAUGCCAUUGCCAAGGAAAGAGGAAUGGUUUACAUUUUUUUUUGGUUCUCUUCCCAAACCAUAACCUCUCACCGACUCACACCUCCCUCUAUUACAUUCUCAACAUCAUCAAAACCUACCCCAAACUACACUAAAUUUCCCAUCACUUUACCCUAUUUCUUCACUUCAAUUCAAUUUAUCAUAACUCUGUUACUGAGAGUAUUAUCAUCAUUCUAAUUUUCACAUUGUUCCUCUUAAAACUACAAAUGUUUUGUUCCUCCUCUUUCCUACUUUACAUGCAACAACUACACUCUUUGGUUUUUAAGUAUGUUUGAGACUUUCCACUAUAGUAACUUCAGUUAUUAGUUUAUCAGAGACUUUUGUUCAAGUCAUGUAUAAAUAUUGUGUCGGAACUUGGGUCCUGCAGUGAGGAAGGAAAAAGCCACGGGUUGUGUGAUUUCCACGAAAGCAGUGAGGAGAUGAGAGGAGCAGGGGCUCGGCGCCAACCUCUAGCUCCAGUGGGAUCAAGUGUUGGUCCAAUGCCUGCGGAUGGUCUACGAGCUCAAGGAUGCUUAGAUGGUACAAUAUCAGAUUUUGUUCACAAAGGGGGCUGGGAAAAAGAUGGGUGAUGAACAUAUAUUUAUUCACACACAAUAACCUUAAUUAUAGAUUAUUGGACUAUAAUAAUAAAUAAAUCCAUUUUUUAAUUAAUAUUCUUAUAAUUGGGUUUAUUUGGGCCUUAACUAUUAUUUUUGUUAAUUUUGUGUUUUUAAAGUAAAUUAUCCGGAGGAAGCAUCUACCUUUGUUGCAAAAGUACAAGUUGCUUCUUGAACCAAAACAGGAAACAAAUUAUGAGGAGAAGAAAGAGAAAAUAAAAUCUACAAUAUCUCAGAAACAGAAUUGGAAGCAAAUCUUCUGCAAAAUACAAGAAUUCUGCAAAGUUGGAAACUUGGAAACUGUUAACAAAAUAUAAACUAGAAUAUUUUCCCAAGAUCCUUGGAGUAGAAAAAUCUAUAAAAGGACACAAGCAUCAAGGAGAAAAGGGGGAGCUUCAUAGGGUUUUCUUAGUUUAUUUUCUUCUUUGUAAUUAUUUUGGUUUGCCUCCGCAUGGAAGGCUAAACCUUUUUGGUUGAUUAUUUUGUAAUUCCCCAUUGAGUUCUGAGGUUUUGUUCAAUAAAAGUUUCGAUUUUUAAUUCUCUAUAGCAGUUGUUUUAAUAGUCUGAUCUCCUGGAAAACUAGUUUUUGUGAGAGGUUGUACUUGAACGCAUGAUUGAGAGUCUUCCUUAUCUUAAACUUUGGUUUCUUAGUUAGUUCGCAUUGUUCUAAUUAAUUUCUUGGGCGCAUGAUUCAAGAGAGAGGAGAUAAGCAUUCUCAUGGAGUAUAUGCAUGGAACAAAGUAGGUAUUGAUUAAUCUAGUAGACGCAUAUUUUGCCAGUGAGUUUCAGUUGAAUUAGAUUGGCGCAUGUUCAAUCUGGUUUAACUCUGUUGGAGGAUUGAGAAAAGAUUAAUCUUUAAAGAACCUAUGAAGAAUUCAAUGGUGAAAGAACUUGGGGAUCAACCGCUUUUUUGUUGUUGUUUCAAAUCUCUUUUAUAUUUCCUGCAUAACUAUCUCAAUCCCUUUUUUAUUAUUAUUGUUAUUGUUAACUUUUAUUGCUUGCAGAUAUUCUAAACAUUGAUCUACUGAUUUUACUAUUGGAUUCGUUGGGAGACGACUUGGGGUCAUCUGCCACAAUUAUACUAUCAUUUAUCUAGUGUUAGACAAGUCUACGCCAGAAUCAUAUUAAUGUGAUAGCAAAACGACAGGCUAUCAAUGGGUCUCUUAGGGAUAGUUCUACAAUGAUGAAGUUCGCGCACAUUAACGGAGAAGAGGCAGUGGCUGUGGGAAGCAUCUCUCGUACUCUUCCACACCAAUGCAAAGUGAAAGGUUUGUGGGAGUUGGGAGAAAUAAGUUUCCAACCAAGGAUGAAAGCAAAUUCAAGUGUGGGUUCAGUGUUAGGUGGGAACUCUUUUCUAUCCAGGUUAAACAACAGUCCAGUAUCCAUCUCUGAUGGGAGGAUUACCAAUUGUAAUAUCUGAUUCUGGAAAACAGGAGCUAAUGAGGACCCGAUCAGUUUGUGGGAGCUUGGCAAACAAAUAGGCCUCACAUGUCACGGGAAUGGGAAAGAGGUAGUCAAAGAGUUCUAAUGUUUGGAAAAGAUUACGAGGUCAUGAGGAUUUAUGAGGAGGGCACCAAGAAUGGUUUCUUAUUAUAAUUGUAAACCUGCACAUAAAAGGCUUAGGAGGGGGCACCAAAGCUAGAUAUCUUAGACAAAUUAUAGUUUGUGAGGGUGCUGAAUUUGUAUGUAUUCAAGAGACAAAAACAAACAUGUUCUCGGAUGCCAGAUGUUACUCUUUGUGGGGGGAUAAUAAGGUUGGGUGGAUCAAUAACAUUGGAGAUAAUGGAGUUGGUAGUGUGCUAUCAAUGUGGCAUAAAUAUGCCUUCUGUAAUGAAAGGCAUAUUAUGGGAAAUGGGUAUAUAGCAAUCUCCGACCAACAUCUGUUAUCAAUGAAUAGAUGUGUUAUGGUUAAUGUCUACACUUCGUGUAACUUGGGUGAAAAUAGGGAUUUAUGAGAGGAUUUGACUAACACCAAAAUGGCACACCAAGGCAUGGCGUGGUGCCUAUGCGGUGACUUUAAUGCAGUCAAGAAUGUUAACGAAAGGAAAGGUGUUAGUGAAAGGGUAGCUUUAUCAAAUGAAAUAAUUGGUUUCAAUGGGUUCAUAGACAAAAAUAUUUUGUUGGAUUUGCCUAUUAUUGGCAAGAAGUUCACAUGGUUCAAAUCAAAUGGAUCAGCUAAGAGCAGGUUGGAUAGAGUGCUUGUAAACGAUGAGUGGCUACAUAAUUGGUUGGGGUGUAAACAGUGUGUCCAACAGUGGGUAGUGUCUCAUCAUUAUGCUUUAGUGGUGAAGUCUAUGGUAAAAGACUGAAGCCCUAAACUGUUCAAAACUAUUGAUGCAUGGCACAUAGAGAAGGGGAUUCAAGGAGCUAGUGAAAGAGAAAUGGAUGUUGUACUCUACACAAGGGAAUGACUUGAUCAAACUCAGAGUUAAGUUGAAGAUGCUGAAGAACGACCUAAAACUCUGGAACAGGGAUGUGUUUGGUAAUCUUGACUUAAAAAAGAGCAGAAUCCUGAAUAGAAUAGAAAAACUUGAUUGCCAAGAUGCAGAUGGCGAACUGGAGGGAAGUGCUAGGAUGGAAAGAAUGGAACUCAUUAGCCAGAUGAGGGUGACAAAUAAAAAGAUAGAAUCUCUCACUAGUCAAAAGGCGAGAGUAAAUUGGCUAAAGCAUGGGGAGUCACGUUCAAGAUACUAUCACUCAAUUCUAAGGUGGAGAAGACUUAGGAAUGACAUCAAAGGAGUUGAGUUUGGAGGUCAGUAGUGCGAGGAGCCUGAAGUUAUUAAAAAAGAAGCGAAAAAACUAUUCCAAGACAGAUUUGUGGCUACUAAAGACGUUGGGGUUAGAAUGAUGUGAUUCCACUAGCCAUAUAGAGAAUGAUUCUUGACAUUCUUAGGAAUCACCUUGAGCUGGACAUUAUAGAGGCACUUUUUCUUAGAGUUGGAUCAUUGUUCUAAGACAAGAACUCACCAAAAACUAGUACCAAAUCCCAAACUCAUUUGGAUGAACCAAAUAUUGUCAAAUUGAAUCAACAAAGAGAUUAAAACUGGAAUUGACCGAACAGAAUUGAACAAUUGAUCAAAUGAACCGAACCAAAACAGAAAUUAAAAACAAAAACAGAACAUAGUGCUGGAAAAUAGAAAAACCGAAACUAAACAACUCAAGAACACAAGGCAACAUGAACAAUUGAAGAAGAAGAAAGGAAGGAGAAGAGAAUGCUCAUGAAGAUUGAAGGAGGAUGGAUGAUCUCGCCACUAGAAGUGUGGAAUGCUCCUAGAUGAGAGUGAAGCCGCCACUUGAGGACUCCAUUGAUCCAUCAAGAUAAGACUAGAGAAGAAGGCUCCAAAAGCUCUCCAAAGGUCACUCAAAAUUUGAGUAGAGUUUUCUUAGAUUAAUUCCAAUCUGAAUUUUACAAAGGAAGCACCUCUAUUUAUAGCCUAAGGUGCUGAAAAAAUAGGUGGGAAAUUUCAAAUAAACUCAUUUGAAAUUCCCACCAAAAACAAGUCACAUGGGAGGUGUGACCUUUUUCUACUAUGACACCUCCCAAAAACUACACCUACACCUAUCUACUAAUACACCCCCCUCCUAAAGCUCCUAACUAAAGCCUAAAAGAUGCUAAAACAAAAGAGGUUUCUAAUGUUUCCCUCUAAGCACCUUCAACUAAAGAAAUUACAAAAAGAGAAAAUAAAUGUCCUCUAGCUCCCAAAGCUUUGAACAUGCUUCUUGUAAUCCUUUGAGGUGGACUUUGACCUCCAUGGGCGUCCUCCAUUUGUGUCUCCACCUCUUCUUGAUCUUGUGGAUUGGCCUCCAUGUCCUCUUGAGCUUGAUCUCCAUCAUAGAAUAAGUGCGGUUGAGUUUAAAACCCUCUCUAUGGAAGAAAAUCUUAGCCUUAUUGUUGAAUUCACUGAGGAAGAAGUGCGGGAAGCGGUGUGGCAAUGUGAUAGCUCAAAGAGUCUUGGUCCAGAUGGAUAAACUUUAAAUUCAUCAAGAAAAGUUUGGAUGUUAUGAAAAAUGCCAUUGUAGCAACGGUGGCACAAUUCCAUGAUUCACGUAGCAUACCAAAAGGAUGUAAUGCCUUGUUUAUAGCCUUGGUCCCUAAAGUUAGUGACUCUUCGAAGCUUGAUCGGUAUAGACCAAUCUCCUUAGUGGGUUCUCUAUAUAAAAUCAUAUUGAAGGUGUUGUCUUAUAGAAUCAAGUCUGUUCUACCAUCAGUGAUAAAUGAGAGUCAGUCGGCCUUCCUGAUGGAUAGAGGGAUGUUGGAUAACGUACUUAUGGCGAAUGAAGUGGUAGAGGAGCUCAGGAGGAAUGGGAGAAGUGGACUAUGUCAAAAGGUGGACUAUGAAAAGGCGUACGACUUGGUCAGGUGGGAUUUUCUUUAUCAAAUGAUGCAGAGGUUGGGGUUUCACUAUAAGUGGAUUUCAUGGAUCAGAGGGUGAUUGGUUUCUACUUCGGUCUCGGUGUUGGUUAAUGGAAGAUCUACUGAAGAAUUUAAACUGACGAGAGGGUUGAGGCAAGGUGAUCCUCUAGCGCCAUUCUUGUUUAUCAUAGUAGUUGAAGGCCUUGCUGAGUUAGCCAGACAAGCUAUAAAGGCAAAUGUGCUAUCAGGCUUGAAGAUUGGUAGGAAUGUGAUAGAGGUGUGCAUGCUUCAAUUUGUUAAUGAUACAUUUUUUCUAUGUGAAGACUCCUAUAGAAAUGUAAUCACUAUGAAGGCUAUUUUGAGGGGCUAUGAACUCGCAUCAAGCCUGAAGGUUAAUUUCCAUAAGUCGAAGGUUGUAGGCAUAAAUGUUGAAAGGAACGUCCUGGAUCUCUACGCUAAGAUCUUGAAUUGUACGCAGAUGUUGAUUCCUUUCAAGUAUUUAGGGCUUGAAGUGGGUGGUAACCCUAGGAGGAAAAGGUUCUAGGAGCCAAUCCUGAGCAAACUUAAAGCAAGACUCAGUGCGUGGAAAGGGAGAUUCCUGUCAUUGGCAGGAAGAAUUUGUUUAAUAAAAUCUAUCCUUUCAGUUUUUCCUCUCUUCUAUCUAUCAUUCUAUAAAAAGUUGGAAUUUGUAUGUAAAAGUAUCACCAGCAUCCAAAGGAUGUUCUUGUGGGGGUGGGGGAAGGAAGAAAGAACAAUAUCAUGGGUAAUAUGGGAGGAUGUGUGUAAACCUAAAGAGGAAUGCGGGUUGGGUGUUAAAGACAUUAGAAAGUUUAACCAAGCUCUUCUGGCUAAAUGUAGGUGUCGUUUACUAACUGAAGAGAAAGGGAAAUGGAGAGAUUUGUUGGUGUUUAAAUAUGGCUCGACUGCUGAUAAUAGUAGUACGCCAGUGAAGCUUCAAUCAUGAUGGUGGAGGGACCUGUCUAAAGUCUGUCGCGAGGGAGGAGGUGAUGGAUGGUUUCAGGAAAUUACAUGUUGGAAAUUAGGAGUUGGCGAUAAGGUUAGAUUUUCGGAGGAUAUGUGGGUUGGGAAUUUGAACCUUAAAAAAAUAUUCCCUAGGUUGCAUUUGUUAGAAUUAAUGACCUUAACAAGAGGGGAUGAAUUGUUUAUGGAAAGUUUUUCCCCUAAACCCUAAACCCUAAUGAAGAUUAAUGAUGAUUUACAUAUCAAAGAAUCAAAUCAACCAAGAAAACAAAUUGAUUAAAAACUGUUAUCAGAAAAAUAAUCGGUUGAAUAUACGAUUUAAUCGAUUGUUUAUGGCAGCAGAGAUAAAAUCACAAGUCAAACAAUUUUUAAAUGAGUGAGAGAGAGAGAAGAUCACAGAGACAAUUACAUUGCUUCACUCCUUACAAGAGUUACAUCCAGCCCCUAGAAAACCAUUGGGUAUUCCACUAGGUAAUCAACAACAAAUUACAACACACCACAACCUCAAAGAGGUGAUCUUGACCACUCAAGAACACACUCCCUCUUUGACUUCUUACACACAGUCAGAACAACCCUUUGACUUUACAUAUACACAAAUUACAAGUAUUAAAACUGAAAAACAAUUACAAGAGAAUAUGGAACAAAUUACACUUGAUUACAGGAAAUCAUAGUUGCUUCUAAUCCACUUUUUAACCAAAGCACAACCUAAGGCAAUCUUGCUUUCUUGAAUCCAAACUUUCACAAAGUGUAUUUUGAAUCACUUUUCUCUCUACUCAAAUAGGGAGGGUAAUCCCAACUUUAUAUCUCUUCAAACUAGUCGUUAUAAGCAGUUAAACAUGAGCCAAAACAGUUUGAAAACAACUGAAAACAGAUGUAACAGAUUUAUGAAAACUUGUUAAGAAAUUCAAAAAUCAACCGGUUGAAAUAUCGAUUUAACCGGUUGAAAUAUCGAUUUAACCGGUUGAAAUAUCGAUUUAACCGGUUGAAAUAUCGAUUUAACCGGUUGAAAUAUCGAUUUAACCGGUUGAAAUAUCGAUUUAACCGGUUGAAAUAUCGAUUUAACCGGUUGAAAUAUCGAUUUAACCGGUUGAAUUGGUUUGACAGUUUAAGUCAACCAAAGUCAAAGCAGUUCAAAAAACCCUUCACACAGACUGAGGGAAAAACAACCAAUUAAAACGAGAAAUCAACAGGUUGUUUUUCACUUAGCUUUCAAAAGCACUUUUCUUUUUAAAACCAGAUUGAUUCAGUUAUGAAUUUGAUUAAGAGUGGAUCUAGAAAAUUCUAAACUACCCAGAAGUUAUCCUGAAAAAUUCAUCACAACUCAAUGCAGAAGUUAUUAUAUUCUUUGCAAUCCAAUCAAACUUAGCUUUCCUACUAUUUGUCUCGGUCCAUUCAGACCAAGGCUUAUCAACAAACACAUCAUCUUCUUUUACUUUUGGAAUAAAAGGUUCAUUCUUUAUAGCAUCCCAAAUUCCUUUAUCUGUAAAUUCAAUAAAAAAAAUCAUUCUAACUUUCCAGAAUUGAUAGUUCACACCACAGAAUAAAGGUGGUCUAUUGAUAGAAGCUCCCUCCCAAAAAGGUAACUUGUCAGCCAUUAAAACAGGUUUGAAAAACAGAACUUGAAAAAAUUUCAAGAACCUAACUCUUGAUGCCAAUUGUUAGAAUUAAUGACCUUAACAAGAAGGGGGUGAAUUGUUUAAGGAAAGUUUUUCGCAAAUAUUGGCUAAGAAUGAAGAUUAAUGAUGAUUUACAUAUCAAAGAAUCAGAUCAGCCAAGAAAACAAAUUGAUUAAAAAUUAUUAUCAGAAAAACAAUAGGUUGAAAAUAGGAUUUAAUCGAUUGUUUAUGGCAGCAGAGAUAAAAUCACAAGUCAAACAAUUUUUAAGUGAGUGAGAAAGAGAGAAGAUCACACAAACAAUUAUACUGGUUCACUCCUUACCAGAGCUACAUUCAGUCCUCACAAAACCACUGGGUAUUCCACUAGGUAAUCAACAACAGAUUACAACACACCACAACCUCAAAUAGGUGAUCUUGACCACUCAAGAGCACACUCCCUCUUUGACUUCUUACACACACAUUCAAAACAACCCCCUGACUUUACAAAUACACAGAUUACAAGUAUUAAAACUGAAAAACAAUUACAAGAGAAUAUGGAACAGAUUACACCUGAUUACAGGAAAUCACAAUUGCUACUAAUCCACUUUUUAACCAAAGCACAGCCCAAGGCAAUCUUGCUUUCUUGAAUCCAAACUUUCACAAAAUGUAUUUUGAAUCACUUUUCUCUCUACUCAAAUAGGGAGGGUAAUCCCAACUUCAUACCUCUUCAAACUAGUCGUUAUAAGCAACUAAACAUGAGCCAAAAUAGUUUGAAAACAACAGAAAACAUAUAUAACAGAUUUAUGAAAAUCUGUUAAGAAAUUCAAAAAUCAACUGGUUGAAAUGUCGAUUUAAUCGGUUGAAUUGGUUUGACAGUUUAAGUCAACCAAAGUCAAAUCAGUUCAAAAAACCCUUCACACAAGCUGAGGGAAAAACAAUCGAUUAAAAUGAGAAAUCAACAGGUUAUUUUUCACUUAGCUUUGAAAAACACUUUUCUUUUUAAAACCAAAUUGAUUCAAUUGUGAAUUUGAUUAAGAGUGGAUCUAGCAAAUUCUAAACUACCUAUAACUAAACCGUAAACUCAGCAACAAAGUCUUCAAGUUGUCUUCAUGGAUUUGGAGGAAUCAAAGCUUCAUUUUCAACAGCAUUCUUUAUCCUUGAACCAAGGAGAAAAGGUAGGUGAGGCUGGCGUGUGGGUAGGAUCAGAAUGGCGAUGGAGUUUAAGGUGGAGACGUGCUAGGUUUGUGUGGGAAACUAUUAUGGAGGAAGACCUUUUAAGGCUCAUAUCUCAAACCAAUCGGUAUAAGGAUGUGAAGGACUACCAGGUGUGGAGGAAUGAAGAAUCAAGAGUGUUCUCAGUGAAAUCGGCGUACGAUCACUUAGCUAACCCCGUAACUGAUCCUUGUAAUGACCUCUUCUAGUGUUUUUGGAAGAUAAAAGUGCUACCCAACGUGUUGUUUACGACAUGGAGGGUCUUGUUGGAUAGAAUCUCAACAACAAUGGUAUUAAGUAGGAGAGGAGUGUCAGUGCCUACUCCUUUGUGUGCUAUGUGUCAGGACAAGGAGGAGUCAAGUCAACAUCUGUUCAUAGAAUGCAUGAUUGCACAGAAGGUUUGGGCCACAUGUUCCAGAUGGAUUGGUAUUCUAUCAGUGCAACACAAUGAAGUGAAGUGCCAUUUUGUGAAUUUUCAUCUGGUACAGGUGAAUAACAAUCAAAACUUGGUGUGGAAAGGUAUUUGGGCAGCUAUUGUGAGGUGUAUUUGGGAUCAGGGAAACAACCUUAUUUUCAAGCAAGGAACAGUUGAUGCAAAAUAGAUUUUCCAGAUUGCGCAACUUAAGUCUUAAUUUUGGAUGAAGUAUAGGACUCCCUUCUUUCAAUCACUCCUUCUCGGACUAGGUCCUGAAUCCCCUUCCAUGUAUUAGAAGUUAUAGGUAAGGGGAAGGAAUACAGGAAGGGCAACACAAAGUAGACCAACCCUAUCAAUGUUGAUGCAGUUCUAAGGUGUUGCAGGAAUUAAUAGUAGCAGCAGAGGUGUUGAACCCCUCCCCAGGGAUCCCCCAGUUUCCAUAUCAUUAUGAGGCUGGUGUAGAAGUAGGAUGUGGACUUUAUGUAGCUCUGCUACUGGUGCGGGUCCAGAAGCAUAGUUCUCAGGGUCAGGGUAAGCUAUGCAGGUUGUUCUGGCUGCAUAAUUGACGAAAAGUUUGUGUUAGUGAUCUCUUGGUCUAUCAGAUGUUGGGAGAAAGCCUAAGCAGGCCAAUCUAUGAGAAGCAAACUUCAGUUUUGAGUGCAACCAUGAAUCUGAAUAAUUUAGGUAGUAAAAUGCUACUCUUUAGAUGCUAACUGCGGUACUCUGACGAAUCUUUUAUCCAUAUAGUGCAGGUUGCACAAUGAUGGAAAUAGAAUUUUAUUUUCAUCUAGAAGGAUAUUUUUAAGGUGCGAAACAGAACAACUAUGUAGCUCUUGAGGUAGAAAUGUCAAAGGUCUAUAGGUUCUGCUUUGUGGACCCGUACGAGAAGAAAAUCAAAAGCCUGGAUGAGGUAUAGCAGGAGACAUUAGCUUUAUGUGCAGGAAAUAGCUAUGUCUAUGAGUAGAAUGGCUUGAGAAGAUUUUGUUGCAGCCAUUAUAUAAUCAUGCAGUUUGGCUCUUGGAGGAAGAAUGGUGGGAAUAAGGUAGAAUGAAUGGUGCAGGAAAAUAGGCGGGAUGAUGCAGUUAAGACUGCAAAAGUGCCUCUUUGUUCUUGUAAAGGUUGGCCAGAGUUCAUUCCAUUACUUGCAUUUAUGUUGGUGUGUGGUAGAGAAUUUUAUGAAAGUGCUUCUCUGUUGUAUAAGGUGCUGCUACCAACAUUGAGAUUUUUGCAGUUUCAUGCUUAAUGCAUAAGUUUGAAGGUCUAGGACCUUAUUGCUUGGAGGAUGCUUAGUCCUUAAUUUGUAGUUUUUUUUGGCGAUGGCAACUUAUUUAUGGAAAAGUUGCUAGGAUGUUCAUUCUUGUAUAAAAAAUGUAUAAAUACUGUGUUCGGUAACCUAGUGUACCCAGUGUAGCUUUUGGAUUUUUUCCUAUGUUAUCAAAAUGUUACUUUCUUUUUGUUUUGCCUGUUAUUGCAUACAGGUUGAUUGAGUUAGGGUUACUGUAUUUUGGUUUGUUAUUUUUGUAGUGCAGUUGCGAAUAAAUGUUUUAGAAUUAAAUAAAAACAUUAUUUUUUAGAGAUAGGAAAAAAAGAACUUGUUGUUAGGUAAGUUUAUUUUGAAGUAUGUUUUAAAAAUAUGUAAAAUUAUAUAAUUGAUAGAAAAUUCAAUUCACUGCAUUUUUUUUCUCUUUUUUAUUCAUAGAGAGGAGAGAUAAAAUAAUAUUAGUUCAACACAGACUCAGUUUUACCUCAUUCGUUAAGUUUAUAAAAAAUGUAAUUUUAACUGCCCAAUUCUUAAAUUAUAAAUACUUGAUUGGAAGUGUUGAUUUUAUAUAAAAUAAAUAAGAAAUAUUAAAUAAAAUAUUUUUUUUAAAUAUAUGUAAGAUAAAUUUGUUAUUAAAUUUGUAUAAAAAAAUCGUACUGACUGGUUAUCUAAAUUAAAUUUAAAUAGAAAUAACCUAUUAUGAUCCCAUUUUUAAUUUCAAAUAUAAUUAAAUUGAAAAUAAUUUUUGGAAAGAAACUACUCAAACUACUUUUUUUAAAAAAUCAAAUGAAAAACAGUUUUUAAACUGUUAUCGAAUAUGACUUCAAUAACUAAAUAUGGAAGGUCCAAUUUUUAUUUUCUCUCUUAAUAUUCAACUCAUAUUUUUGUUCACAUUGUCUAUAGUUUAUUUAUUAUAAAUAAUGUCAAGAUUUUGGGUUCAACAUGGAGAAGAGAUGUCAAGUGAGGAUAAUGUUGGUUAUGCAUCUAGUAGCCAUGGAAGAACGAAACCUAUUGAUAAUGUUGGUUCAGUGACCAAUAUGGUGUAUGAUGCAUACAUGCAAGAAACAGACAUAACAAGUCAUUAUGGUGACAUGGACAACAAUGAUGAAUAUGUAGAAGAGUCACCUAAUGUAGAAGCCCAGAGGUUUUAUGAUAUGUUAGCAACUGCAAAUGAACCUAUUUAUGAUGGUGCCACUUAGUCAAAAUUAUCAAUAGCCAUCAAACUGCUAGCGGCUAGAACGAAUUGGCAUACACCUGAAAAAUGUUUAGACUAUUUCAUAAAAUUGUUGGUUUAUGUAGCUCCCAAAGAUAAUUUCAUACCAAAAAGCUACUAUGACGCCAAAAAGGUUGUGUCAAGUCUUGGGUUGAAAGCCCAAAAAAUUGAUUGUUGUGAGGCUGGGUGCAUGUUGUAUUACAAGGAUGACAACUAUUUAAUGGAAUGCAAAUUUUGUCAUCUUUCUCAGUAUUUUCCUUCUAAGGGUGACAAUGGAAGAUAUAAAAAAUUUCAAUGAAGAGAAUGUUUUAUUUGCCAAUCAUUCCAAGAUUACAAAGACUGUAUGCAUCAAUGGAAUCUGCUAAGCAAAUGAGAUGGCAUACUCUCAUACCUGGCCCAAGUAACCCAACUAAUAAAAUAGAUGUUUACAUGCAACCUCUUAUUGAUGAUCUUAACCAAUUGUGGAAUGAAGGUGUAAUGACAUAUGCCUGAACCUCGUAACGUUGUCCCCUUCUACUAUAUAGACUCCAUUUUAUAGUAAAACCACCAUAACUAAAACCACCAUGUGCAUGCCUCUGCACAUCUUUUAUACCCACUCUCAUUCAUCAUGUGUCCUUGUCCCAACACCACUCUAUAUAUAAACCUUCUCUUAUUCACCUUUUUUAUUAAACUUUAAUUAACUUUACAUGUCUUCAACUCAAAAUUUACCAUCAAAAUUAGUUUAAUAUAAUUGUUAAGGUAACUUAACAUAAUCUCAGCAUCCAACUUCCUUCUCCAGCUCCAAAACCAAACCAGCUCCCACACUAUACCAUUAACCACACCUGACCUUCUUAUCAAUUUGUGCUAAAAACAGAUCCUCCUCUAUUUUUAUAAUAUACAUGCUGCCUAACAUCACAACAGCAAUGCUCCUACACCUAUUAUCAAAUAAUCUACCAAUAACCUAUGAAUCAACAUUUUGUACCAAAUAAAGAACUGAAGCACUUAAAACAAAAUCAUCAGCAGUUUAAUCCGAAAAUCAAACAGAAAUUAAUCAUUAAAAAAACAAAAUAGCAACAAAUACUUGAAAAAAACACUAAUCCAAGGGUUCAAAUGUGAGAGUCACUACGCUACACAUCAGUUAAAAAUUAAAUAAAAAUGAAGCGAAAGUGAAAACGAAAAUCAAAUCAAAAACAAAAAACCUUACCUAAUUGUAGGAACAACUUGAAGCUACGCUAGAGAUUGACAAAUUCUGAUCCAACGAUGCGGAUGAACGAAUUGAACAGAGAGUGAAAACCAAUUGAACGAGAAACUGAAAACGAGUAAGCCGAAGCGGAGACCGAGAGAGUGAGAAAGAGCAACAAGAUUGAAAAUGAAGGAGAAGAAGGAAAUUGUAGGUGGAAGAAGAAAACUCACUCUGAGAAGGAAGAAAAACAGGAACUGACUGCGUGAGAUGGAAGAAGAAUGGGUAUUGUGCGUGACUAUGUGAGAUGGAAGAAGAAUGGGGACUAUGCGUGAAAGAAGAAGAAAACUGUCUAAGGGAAGAAGAAAGUGUGUUAAAAUUAU